rnacentral:rRNA from 1 species
GACGAACGCUGGCGGCGUGCUUAACACAUGCAAGUCGAACGGAAAGGCCCUGCUUUUGUGGGGUGCUCGAGUGGCGAACGGGUGAGUAACACGUGAGUAACCUGCCCUUGACUUUGGGAUAACUUCAGGAAACUGGGGCUAAUACCGGAUAGGAGCUCCUGCUGCAUGGUGGGGGUUGGAAAGUUUCGGCGGUUGGGGAUGGACUCGCGGCUUAUCAGCUUGUUGGUGGGGUAGUGGCUUACCAAGGCUUUGACGGGUAGCCGGCCUGAGAGGGUGACCGGCCACAUGGGGACUGAGGUACGGCCCAGACUCCUACGGGGGGGAGCGGGGGGGAAUAUUGCACAAUGGGCGGAAGCCUGAUGCAGCAACGCCGCGGGCGGGAUGACGGCCUUCGGGUUGGAAACCGCUUUCGCCUGUGACGAAGCGUGAGUGACGGUAAUGGGUAAAGAAACACCGGCUAACUACGU